CGCGGCCUAUCAGCUUGUUGGUGGGGUAAUGGCCUACCAAGGCGACGACGGGUAGCCGGCCUGAGAGGGUGACCGGCCACACUGGGACUGAGACACGGCCCAGACUCCUACGGGAGGCAGCAGUGGGGAAUAUUGCACAAUGGGCGAAAGCCUGAUGCAGCGACGCCGCGUGAGGGAUGACGGCCUUCGGGUUGUAAACCUCUUUCAGUAGGGAAGAAGCGUAAGUGACGGUACCUGCAGAAGAAGCGCCGGCUAACUACGUGCCAGCAGCCGCGGUAAUACGUAGGGCGCAAGCGUUAUCCGGAAUUAUUGGGCGUAAAGAGCUCGUAGGCGGUUUGUCGCGUCUGCUGUGAAAGACCGGGGCUCAACUCCGGUUCUGCAGUGGGUACGGGCAGACUAGAGUGAUGUAGGGGAGACUGGAAUUCCUGGUGUAGCGGUGAAAUGCGCAGAUAUCAGGAGGAACACCGAUGGCGAAGGCAGGUCUCUGGGCAUUAACUGACGCUGAGGAGCGAAAGCAUGGGGAGCGAACAGGAUUAGAUACCCUGGUAGUCCACGCCGUAAACGGUGGGUACUAGGUGUGGGUUUCCUUCCUUGGGAUCCGUGCCGUAGCUAACGCAUUAAGUACCCCGCCUGGGGAGUACGG
rnacentral:rRNA from 1 species